UCAGUGGAAAAAUGCACUGCAUAACUACUUGUUUUUUCUGCUACUAUUCUUUUUUUCUCUUCUUCCUCUUCGUGUUCUUCUUAUUCUGAAAAUAGGAUCAAACUAAAAAAAAUAAAAU
rnacentral:ribozyme from 1 species